ACAUCUCGUCACCCUAAGGCUUUAUUUAAUCGUUAUUAUUGUAUUCUAUUUAAGUGUUUUCUAUGUGGUUUAGGCGAGACUCAUUGAAGACAUAGCACAGGUGGCCAUCCCCACUUAUAAGCCCACUUAACAAGGGCUACCUUGCACAUAUGCCCCUAUUCCAGUACAACCAAAUAGUUUUGAUUGUGGGGUAUAUGCAAUAAAGUUUAUGGAGUACUGGACUGAAGGCGGGAAUGUGAAUGACUGGGAUUAUGACACUAUCAAGUUAUAUAGGUUGGAGAUAAUGCUUGACAUCAUCCUAUGUCACAAAAAUUUAGACAUUGGAGAUGCUCUGAAUGCCGUUAGCAGCCAUAAUCGACCUCCUGUGCGCCGCAACCAACCAAGGAACAAAUGUAAGGAGGUUAGGACUCCGUUUACAGCACCUGGGACAAAGCGCAUACUUUGGCGAGCUGCAGGGGUGCAAAAGAAAUAGACGCACAAAAGAAGAUAGAUAUCAAAAGAAAAAGCCUAUAUAUUACAUUCUAGUUUACUUAGGGUAGAGUUAUCCUCACAUUGUGAGAUAUUUUUUGUUGGGUCUAAAUAUUUUCCUUGUUUUACACAAAGGAAUCUUGUUUUGGAUUCUUGUUCCUUCACA